rnacentral:rRNA from 1 species
ACGAACGCUGGCGGCGUGCCUAAUACAUGCAAGUAGAACGCUGAAGAGAGGAGCUUGCUCUUCUUGGAUGAGUUGCGAACGGGUGAGUAACGCGUAGGUAACCUGCCUUGUAGCGGGGGAUAACUAUUGGAAACGAUAGCUAAUACCGCAUAACAAUGGAUGACACAUGUCAUUUAUUUGAAAGGGGCAAUUGUUCCACUACAAGAUGGACCUGCGUUGUAUUAGCUAGUAGGUGAGGUAAUGGCUCACCUAGGCGACGAUACAUAGCCGACCUGAGAGGGUGAUCGGCCACACUGGGACUGAGACACGGCCCAGACUCCUACGGGAGGCAGCAGUAGGGAAUCUUCGGCAAUGGGGGCAACCCUGACCGAGCAACGCCGCGUGAGUGAAGAAGGUUUUCGGAUCGUAAAGCUCUGUUGUAAGUCAAGAACGGGUGUGAGAGUGGAAAGUUCACACUGUGACGGUAGCUUACCAGAAAGGGACGGCUAACUACGUGCCAGCAGCCGCGGUAAUACGUAGGUCCCGAGCGUUGUCCGGAUUUAUUGGGCGUAAAGCGAGCGCAGGCGGUUUGAUAAGUCUGAAGUUAAAGGCUGUGGCUCAACCAUAGUUCGCUUUGGAAACUGUCAAACUUGAGUGCAGAAGGGGAGAGUGGAAUUCCAUGUGUAGCGGUGAAAUGCGUAGAUAUAAGGAAGAACACCAGUGGCGAAGGCGGAUUACUGGACGGUAACUGACGGUGAGGCGCGAAAGCGUGGGGAGCGAACAGGAUUAGAUACCCUGGUAGUCCACGCCGUAAACGAUGAGUGCUAGGUGUUGGAUCCUUUCCGGGAUUCAGUGCCGCAGCUAACGCAUUAAGCACUCCGCCUGGGGAGUACGACCGCAAGGUUGAAACUCAAAGGAAUUGACGGGGGCCCGCACAAGCGGUGGAGCAUGUGGUUUAAUUCGAAGCAACGCGAAGAACCUUACCAGGUCUUGACAUCCCGAUGCUAUUUCUAGAGAUAGAAAGUUACUUCGGUACAUCGGUGACAGGUGGUGCAUGGUUGUCGUCAGCUCGUGUCGUGAGAUGUUGGGUUAAGUCCCGCAACGAGCGCAACCCCUAUUGUUAGUUGCCAUCAUUCAGUUGGGCACUCUAGCGAGACUGCCGGUAAUAAACCGGAGGAAGGUGGGGAUGACGUCAAAUCAUCAUGCCCCUUAUGACCUGGGCUACACACGUGCUACAAUGGUUGGUACAACGAGUUGCGAGUCGGUGACGGCGAGCUAAUCUCUUAAAGCCAAUCUCAGUUCGGAUUGUAGGCUGCAACUCGCCUACAUGAAGUCGGAAUCGCUAGUAAUCGCGGAUCAGCACGCCGCGGUGAAUACGUUCCCGGGCCUUGUACACACCGCCCGUCACACCACGAGAGUUUGUAACACCCGAAGUCGGUGAGGUAACCUUUUGGAGCCAGCCGCCUAAGGUGGGACAGAUGAUUGGGGUG